GACAUGAAGAACUACUACAGUCUCAUCGUCUCCAGCAACUUGAACAGCAUCAGCUGCCUGAAGGAGGAACUGGCCGUUGCGCGGAGACACGAGAAGCUGACGAGGAAGCAGCUGAGAAGCGCGACGGCUCAGCACCGAGAACUGGCCGAGCCUUUGGAGAGGCUCAGGGCCGAGGCUGAGGCGACCAAGAAGGAACUGGCGUGUCGCGAAGAGGAGAGGGCGUCGCUUCUGGAUAGUACUGCUCGUCUAGUUAAAUGUGAGAAGGAAAUUGAAAAUCUCAAACAUGAAAACGAUGUUCUCCAUCUACAGCUGGAAGAGUUGCAGGAUCAGCGCGACGGGCUGCGCCAGGGGCUGCUUCUGGCGACCCUGGAGGCGGGGCAGCGCUCGGGCCUCGGGGCCACGCUGCUGCGCUGCAAGA